rnacentral:rRNA from 1 species
GACGAACGCUGGCGGCGUGCCUAAUACAUGCAAGUCGAGCGGACGGAUGGGAGCUUGCUCCCAGACCGUCAGCGGCGGACGGGUGAGUAACACGUGGGCAACCUGCCUGUAAGACUGGGAUAACUCCGGGAAACCGGGGCUAAUACCGGAUAACUCUUUCCCUCACAUGAGGGAAAGCUGAAAGAUGGCAUCUCGCUAUCACUUACAGAUGGGCCCGCGGCGCAUUAGCUAGUUGGCGAGGUAACGGCUCACCAAGGCGACGAUGCGUAGCCGACCUGAGAGGGGGAUCGGCCACACUGGGACUGAGACACGGCCCAGACUCCUACGGGAGGCAGCAGUAGGGAAUCUUCCGCAAUGGACGAAAGUCUGACGGAGCAACGCCGCGUGAGUGAUGAAGGUUUUCGGAUCGUAAAACUCUGUUGUCAGGGAAGAACAAGUACCGGAGUAACGGCCGGUACCUUGACGGUACCUGACCAGAAAGCCACGGCUAACUACGU